AUUAAUAGUCAUAGAAUUAAAUUUUUUAAUUUAAUUAUAAAUAUCAUUAUAAAUAAUUAAUCAUUGUAUUUUUAGUUAAGUACUAAAAAUGUAAUCAUUGAGUGCAUUAAUAUUUGGCAAGGACAGCAUUUAUGGAAAAUAAAAGGUCACGAAACAGAAAUAACGGGCUUGUCGCUUAGUUCUUCGGAACUAGACCUCACGGAAAAUUUGAAUGGAACACUCUCGGUCACAAACUUUGAUUGAACCGGUCCAAAAUGAAGAAUCUGAUGCCGAAAACCCUGAAGAGAUGGAAACUGAUGAAUGAAUUAGAUUU